GUAAGGAAUAUUGGACAAUGGACGCAAGUCUGAUCCAGCCAUGCCGCGUGAAGGAUUAAGGUCCUCUGGAUUGUAAACUUCUUUUAUAAGGGACGAAAAAGGCUUUUCUAAGUCGUCUGACGGUACCUUAUGAAUAAGCACCGGCUAACUCCGUGCCAGCAGCCGCGGUAAUACGGAGGGUGCAAGCGUUAUCCGGAUUCACUGGGUUUAAAGUGUGCGUAGGCGGGCAGGUAAGUCAGUGGUGAAAUCCUAGAGCUUAACUCUAGAACUGCCAUUGAUACUAUCUGUCUUGAAUAUUGUGGAGGUAAGCGGAAUAUGUCAUGUAGCGGUGAAAUGCUUAGAUAUGACAUAGAACACCUAUUGCGAAGGCAGCUUACUACGCAUAUAUUGACGCUGAGGCACGAAAGCGUGGGGAUCAAACAGGAUUAGAAACCCCUGUAGUCC
rnacentral:rRNA from 1 species